rfam:Tropilaelaps mercedesae isolate Wuxi-XJTLT scaffold0000005186, whole genome shotgun sequence.
AAAACGGCCCUUUUCAGGGCCAUUAAAUUUUAUGAGAUCAAACAUUU